GUGAACGCCCUCAUGGGCUUAUAACUAUUCCAAACCUCUGUGAACCGUGCCCUUCGGGGCUAUUUUACAAACAUGGUGUAAUGAACGUCAUAUAUCAUAACAAAACA
rnacentral:misc_RNA from 1 species